rnacentral:rRNA from 1 species
AGUCGAGAAUCUUCGGCAAUGGGCGCAAGCCUGACCGAGCGACGCCGCGUGCGGGAUGAAGGCCUUCGGGUUGUAAACCGCUGUCGUAGGGGAGGAAGGCCCUGUGAAGAACAGGGUUUGACCGAUCCUAGGAGGAAGGGCCGGCUAAUCUCGUGCCAGCAGCCGCGGUAAUACGAGAGGCCCAAACGUUAUUCGGAAUUACUGGGCUUAAAGAGUUCGUAGGCGGCAUGGAAAGUAGGGUGUGAAAGCCCUCGGCUCAACCGAGGAAUUGCGCUCUAAACUCCCGUGCUUGAGGAAGCUAGAGGUGAGCAGAACAGAUGGUGGAGCGGUGAAAUGCGUUGAUAUCAUCUGGAAUACCGGAGGCGAAGGCGGCUCACUGGGGCUUUUCUGACGCUGAGGAACGAAAGCCAGGGUAGCGAA